GGUCUUGUAGUGUAGCUGGUUAUCACUCCGGAUUCUGAUCACCUCAGAAUCUUCCGGCAACCCAGGUUCGAGUCCUGGCAAGACCU